rnacentral:rRNA from 1 species
GACGAACGCUGGCGGCGUGCUUAACACAUGCAAGUCGAACGGAAAGGCCCUGCUUUUGUGGGGUGCUCGAGUGGCGAACGGGUGAGUAACACGUGAGUAACCUGCCCUUGACUUUGGGAUAACUUCAGGAAACUGGGGCUAAUACCGGAUAGGAGCUCCUGCUGCAUGGUGGGGGUUGGAAAGUUUCGGCGGUCGGGGAUGGACUCGCGGCUUAUCAGCUUGUUGGUGGGGUAGUGGCUUACCAAGGCUUUGACGGGUAGCCGGCCUGAGAGGGUGACCGGCCACAUUGGGACUGAGAUACGGCCCAGACUCCUACGGGAGGCAGCAGUGGGGAAUAUUGCACAAUGGGCGGAAGCCUGAUGCAGCAACGCCGCGUGCGGAAUGACGGCCUUCGGGUUGUAAACCGCUUUCGCCUGUGACGAAGCGUGAGUGACGGUAAUGGGUAAAGAAGCACCGGCUAACUACGUG